rnacentral:rRNA from 1 species
GACGAACGCUGGCGGCGUGCUUAACACAUGCAAGUCGUACGGUAAGGCCCUUUCGGGGGUACACGAGUGGCGAACGGGUGAGUAACACGUGAGUAACCUGCCCACAACUUUGGGAUAACGCAAGGAAACUGGUGCUAAUACUGGAUAUGUGCUCCUGCUGCAUGGUGGGGGUUGGAAAGCUCCGGCGGUUGUGGAUGGACUCGCGGCCUAUCAGCUUGUUGGUGGGGUAGUGGCCUACCAAGGCGGCGACGGGUAGCCGGCCUGAGAGGGUGACCGGCCACAUUGGGACUGAGAUACGGCCCAGACUCCUACGGGAGGCAGCAGUGGGGAAUAUUGCACAAUGGGCGCAAGCCUGAUGCAGCAACGCCGCGUGCGGGAUGACGGCCUUCGGGUUGUAAACCGCUUUCAGCAGGGACGAAGCUUUUUGUGACGGUACCUGCAGAAGAAGCACCGGCUAACUACGUG